GAUGGAGAGGGUGGCUGAUCUUAUAAGCCACUUGUAUGAGACACUAAUACAAGAAUGUGGGUGCUCAUUAGAGAAUGAGUUCACUAAAUUGAUCCGACUUAAGAAACGUCUUAUGGAAUCUGCUUAUCCGUCAAAAGAUAUUUUCUUAUAGUAGAAGUUGUACAUGUAAUCCUUUGACAUGAGACACCAUAGAACCUUAUAUAUAUGAAUUCAUAUUUUGGUUCAUACUCAUUUAUGAUUUAGUCAUAUACGGGAUGAUCUAGAUA
rnacentral:lncRNA from 1 species